UACAGAGGGUGCGAGCGUUAAUCGGAAUUACUGGGCGUAAAGCGUGCGUAGACGGUUAUCUAAGUCGGAUGUGAAAGCCCCGGGCUCAACCUGGGAAUUGCAUUCGAGACUGAAUAGCUAGGGUGCGGUAGAGGGAAGCGGAAUUUCCGGUGUAGCGGUGAAAUGCGUAGAUAUCGGAAGGAACACCAAUGGCGAAGGCAGCCGCCUGGGCCUGAUCUGACACUGAGACACGAAAGCGUGGGGAUCAAACAGG
rnacentral:rRNA from 1 species